GAUGAACGCUAGCGGCAGGCUUAAUACAUGCAAGUCGAGGGGCAGCGCGGGUAGCAAUACCUGGCGGCGACCGGCAAACGGGUGCGGAACACGUACGCAACCUUCCCAUAACUGGUGAAUAGCCUUUCGAAAGAGAGAUUAAUACACCGUAACAUAACGAAGAGGCAUCUCUUUGUUAUUAUAGGCUUCGGCCGGUUUUGGAUGGGCGUGCGCCUGAUUAGGUAGUUGGCGGGGUAACGGCCCACCAAGCCUGCGAUCAGUAACUGGUGUGAGAGCACGACCAGUCACACGGGCACUGAGACACGGGCCCGACUCCUACGGGAGGCAGCAGUAAGGAAUAUUGGUCAAUGGACGCAAGUCUGAACCAGCCAUGCCGCGUGAGGGAUGAAGGUCCUCUGGAUUGUAAACUUCUUUAUCUGGGACGAAAAAGCUCUUUCUAGAGCACUUGACGGUACCAGAGGAAUAAGCACCGGCUAACUCCGUGCCAGCAGCCGCGGUAAUA
rnacentral:rRNA from 1 species